AUUCGUCUGUAGUUCAUGAGCAUGAUCAUUGGGUGUUCAUAACGUGUGGGAUGUGCCACCCUCUGAACCUUGUUCCCACAUUGGCAUAUUACCUAUCUAACC